AUUAAUACUGAUAUUUUUUUACCUUUGGAGAUGAGAAGGUCCAGCGUUUCCCUGCCUGGCCCAGGUACCAAAGCCUUAUGAUAUGGUGUCCAGAAUAAAGUGGAGGGUUCACUUCAUUUGUCCUUCCUGCUCCAAUCUCCUUUUCCUCUCCUUCAUUUGACAGUCUUUUUUUUCUUCUGACACUGUUUUCUAUCCUUGGCCCCUUCUGCUCUUUUACCUUUAUGCUACUUUCUGCUUAUUUAGCGCCCUUCUGCUCCUUUCUCAUUCUGAUCCCUUUCUGCUCCUUGCAGACCCUUUCUGCUCCCUUUUCUACUUUACCUUUGUGCUCCUUCUGAUUCUUUCAGCUCCUUUACCUUUGUGCUCCUUCCUGUUCCUUGCAGGCCCUUCCUGCUCAUUCUCCUAUUUUACCUUUGUGCUCCUUCUGCCCCUUCCAGCUCAUUUCUUUUUCUUUACCUUUGUGCUGCUUUACCUUCCAGCUCCUUGCUGACCCUUCCUGUUCAUUUCUGUUCCUUUGUGCUCCUUCUCCUACUUUACCUUUUGUGCUCCUUGCUGUC